GACGAACGCUGGCGGCGUGCUUAACACAUGCAAGUCGAACGGAAAGGCCCUGCUUUUGUGGGGUGCUCGAGUGGCGAACGGGUGAGUAACACGUGAGUAACCUGCCCUUGACUUUGGGAUAACUUCAGGAAACUGGGGCUAAUACCGGAUAGGAGCUCCUGCUGCAUGGUGGGGGUUGGAAAGUUUCGGCGGUUGGGGAUGGACUCGCGGCUUAUCAGCUUGUUGGUGGGGUAGUGGCUUACCAAGGCUUUGACGGGUAGCCGGCCUGAGAGGGUGACCGGCCACAUUGGGACUGAGAUACGGCCCAGGCUCCUACGGGAGGCAGCAGUGGGGAAUAUUGCACAAUGGGCGGAAGCCUGAUGCAGCAACGCCGCGUGCGGGAUGACGGCCUUCGGGUUGUAAACCGCUUUCGCCUGUGACGAAGCGUGAGUGACGGUAAUGGGUAAAGAAGCACCGGCUAACUACGUGCCAGCAGCCGCGGUGAUACGUAGGGUGCGAGCGUUGUCCGGAUUUAUUGGGCGUAAAGGGCUCGUAGGUGGUUGAUCGCGUCGGAAGUGUAAUCUUGGGGCUUAACCCUGAGCGUGCUUUCGAUACGGGUUGACUUGAGGAAGGUAGGGGAGAAUGGAAUUCCUGGUGGAGCGGUGGAAUGCGCAGAUAUCAGGAGGAACACCAGUGGCGAAGGCGGUUCUCUGGGCCUUUCCUGACGCUGAGGAGCGAAAGCGUGGGGAGCGAACAGGCUUAGAUACCCUGGUAGUCCACGCUGUAAACGGUGGGUACUAGGUGUGGGGUCCAUUCCACGGGUUCCGUGCCGUAGCUAACGCUUUAAGUACCCCGCCUGGGGAGUACGGCCGCAAGGCUAAAACUCAAAGGAAUUGACGGGGCCCCGCACAAGCGGCGGAGCAUGCGGAUUAAUUCGAUGCAACGCGUAGAACCUUACCUGGGUUUGACAUGGAUCGGGAGUGCUCAGAGAUGGGUGUGCCUCUUUUGGGGUCGGUUCACAGGUGGUGCAUGCCUGUCGUCAGCUCGUGCCGUGAGAUGUUGGGUUAAGUCCCGCAACGAGCGCAACCCUUGUUCACUGUUGCCAGCACGUUAUGGUGGGGACUCAGUGGAGACCGCCGGGGUCAACUCGGAGGAAGGUGGGGAUGACGUCAAGUCCUCAUGCCCCUUAUGUCCAGGGCUUCACGCAUGCUACAAUGGCUGGUACAGAGAGUGGCGAGCCUGUGAGGGUGAGCGAAUCUCGGAAAGCCGGUCUCAGUUCGGAUUGGGGUCUGCAACUCGACCUCAUGAAGUCGGAGUCGCUAGUAAUCGCAGAUCAGCAACGCUGCGGUGAAUACGUUCCCGGGGCU
rnacentral:rRNA from 1 species